AGCAUGGGCUACUGCAUCCUUUGUGUACACGGACUGAGCAAGCUCUUGCACUUGACUGAAUUAAAGUGGGGCCCCACCCUGAUUGUGUCCACUGUGUUGCUGCUGCUGCUUUUCUCUUGGAAAACUGAAACAGAAUAAAUUUGGCUGUCCAGAAAGUCCCUAUAUAGUCUGGAGUUCAAAAUCUGCCUCACAAUGCCAAGGUUUACUACAACUAUGCCAAUUUCCUGAAGACCCAGGUCAGAACAAGGAAGGAACCUACCGCUAUAGAACGGCCCUCACAUCAUAUUGCACCAUGCGAGUGCCCCGAACAACCUUGAAACCCUGACAAGAGACACAGCAGGGACAAAAAAUGCAGUCAAAGGGCUCUCCAGCUCCAUCCACAGCAUAACCCAGCUCUUGCCAAGAUUGACAAGAUCUUG
rnacentral:lncRNA from 1 species